rnacentral:rRNA from 1 species
GACGAACGCUGGCGGCGUGCCUAAUACAUGCAAGUCGAACGCUUCUUUUUCCACCGGAGCUUGCUCCACCGGAAAAAGAGGAGUGGCGAACGGGUGAGUAACACGUGGGUAACCUGCCCAUCAGAAGGGGAUAACACUUGGAAACAGGUGCUAAUACCGUAUAACAAUCGAAACCGCAUGGUUUUGCUUUGAAAGGCGCUUUCGGGUGUCGCUGAUGGAUGGACCCGCGGUGCAUUAGCUAGUUGGUGAGGUAACGGCUCACCAAGGCCACGAUGCAUAGCCGACCUGAGAGGGUGAUCGGCCACAUUGGGAUUGAGACACGGCCCAAACUCCUACGGGAGGCGGCAGUAGGGAAUCUUCGGCAAUGGACGAAAGUCUGACCGAGCAACGCCGCGUGAGUGAAGGAGGUUUUCGGAUCGUAAAACUCUGUUGUUAGAGAAGAACAAGGAUGAGAGUAACUGUUCAUCCCUUGACGGUAUCUAACCAGAAAGCCACGGCUAACUACGUGCCAGCAGCCGCAGUAA